rnacentral:rRNA from 1 species
CCCUUAGAUGUUCUGGGCCGCACGCGCGCUACAAUGAUGAAUUCAACGAGUUUAUAACCUUGGUUGAAAAGCCUGGGUAAUCUUUUGAACUUUCGUCGUGAUGGGGCUAGACCCUUGCAAUUAUUGGUCUCCAACGAGGAAUUCCUAGUAAACGCAAGUCAUCAGCUUGCAUUGAUUACGUCCCUGCCCUUUGUACACACCGCCCGUCGCUACUACCGAUUGAAUGGUUUAGUGAGGACUCCUGAUUGGCGCCGCCGCCCCGGCAACGGAGCAGCGGACUGCCGAAAAGUUGUUCAAACUUGAUCAUUUAGAGGAAGUAAAAGUCGUAACA